rnacentral:rRNA from 1 species
AGAGUUUGAUCCUGGCUCAGGACGAACGCUGGCGGCGUGCCUAAUACAUGCAAGUGGGACGCAAGGAAACACACUGUGCUUGCACACCGUGUUUUCUUGAGUCGCGAACGGGUGAGUAACGCGUAGGUAACCUGCCUAUUAGCGGGGGAUAACUAUUGGAAACGAUAGCUAAUACCGCAUAAUAUUAAUUAUUGCAUGAUAAUUGAUUGAAAGAUGCAAGCGCAUCACUAGUAGAUGGACCUGCGUUGUAUUAGCUAGUUGGUAAGGUAAGAGCUUACCAAGGCGACGAUACAUAGCCGACCUGAGAGGGUGAUCGGCCACACUGGGACUGAGACACGGCCCAGACUCCUACGGGAGGCAGCAGUAGGGAAUCUUCGGCAAUGGACGAAAGUCUGACCGAGCAACGCCGCGUGAGUGAAGAAGGUUUUCGGAUCGUAAAGCUCUGUUGUAAGUCAAGAACGUGUGUGAGAGUGGAAAGUUCACACAGUGACGGUAGCUUACCAGAAAGGGACGGCUAACUACGUGCCAGCAGCCGCGGU